AAAAACCAAAACGUGCUAGCACAUUUCGUCGUAUUUAUACAAAUUUAAAGCAUUCACCCAGCAGGCGGCGGGUGGGUGAGUACUCAAAAUUUACGAGUAUUUCCAUGGCUGCCAGCGACGAUAAACCAAACCAGUCGAAAGCAAUAACGACGAGCCAAUGCCAAUAGACAGCGGACAGCGGACAGCGGACGGCGGACGACCGCAAAGGACUAAACAUGACUAGACUACUUGUGCACUAUAGAGCAUCGGCUGGAAGCUAGUUGAAGGACACACACAGCCGGAUGCCGCUCGCCCAGUCGCUAGACAAAGGGGGCGUGCCCGGCGUAGGCAGCACGGCCGUCCAGUUGCCAGUUGGCAGUUGGCAGUUGCCAGUUGCCAGUUGCCAGUUGCCGGUGUCUGGCCUUUGGCCGCCUCUGCUGUUUGGUCUGUGUCCAGGCCGGUCAAUGACAGCUAAAGUUUUUCAAACUAACCUCGAAACGAUAAAAAAUUAAAGCAACAGUAAAUGAGAGACGCGCAGACAGAGCAGGCGGACGAGGCAGACGGAACAGCGCUGGCCGGAGGAGCAGGCAGAGGAUUCUGAGGAGGGGCCAAGAGCAUUUACUGCAACAAAAUGCCGCAAUGGGCUGUUAUUAUAAUGAAAACGAAGCACAGAACCUGCCGCAGUAAAAACGGCAAUGAGUAGUUGCUUUUGUGGCAAGCGGAGCACCCCUAACGGUGCAUAGCCAACGUCAAGUUGCCAUUAAUUUUCAAGUGCAAUGUCUGUAUUCGUAUGCCUCUUCCCUCGGUCCCCCUCCCCUCAGCCUAUGGCUCUCAAUACACUCGUCGCGAUAUGCAAAGAAGGCGCACAAAAGUAUGCUAUAAAAUUAGUUGAUUUACAGAGGGAAAACGAAAAACAGCUCAAAAUAAUUUCUCGUUUGCCUGCCUUUACCCCGUGAUACGGAAAACUUUAAAUGCAGGCCAGAGGCAUUCAACAAUGUCAGAAUGACAGCCUUAAAGCUUUAAACGGCAUUGUUCUGCGCUCUUUCAGCGUGUUCAAGACUGUAAAACACGUCCGGAAUUGGGUGAAUCACGGCGGAGCGGCCAACGGGCCAGCAUCACCCUAUCAAUAUGUUGACUUUUGUUCAACUGUUUUAUUUAAUUUCGUUGCUUUUUUUACCUUGCUUUUUGGACGAAAACUCGACCGUGCGCUACAGCAAUUUAUGAAAUUUCCCUCGCAUAUAUGCAUAUAUACAUAUGCAUAUAUACCCUAUAUAUAUAUUUGUAUAGUACAAAUAUAUUUUUUAACUCUUUCCCCAAAGUUAUAUGUCGCUUUCUGAAACCUCGUCUGUGUGUGUGUCUGUGUGUGUGUGUGUGUGUGAGUAGUACCAAUCGCACCGAAUUCACUUUUUUUCGUAUUUCCAAAUGGUGCAUAAGCAUUUUUUCAUGUUCGGCCAAAUAAAAAAUGGAGAAAGCAAAUAAAAGCAUCUGGAGUCCGGAAAAAUUUGAAACUAUGGCAAUAUAUGGACGAGCUUUAUGCAGAGUAUUGUAUAUGCAGUUCAGAUAUCCUGCAUUCAAUGGAACUGGGCCCUCAAACACCUUUAGAAUAUACUGCAGCCUCAGUCUCAUGAUUAGUUUUGGGAUCGAGCUGAGCGAGAAUUGUGAACCUCUAUUGAGGAAUCACUGGUAACAGGGUAACUACUCGUCGAUCAGCGAGGACUCAAGACUUUCGUCUGUUUAUUUUUGCAUGCAUAUCAAGUGAGGCAAAAUAUUUUAUGGCCGUUCACUUAGCCUCUCCAGCCACAACUCUCCUCCGCACAGUCAUCGAAUGCAACUCGGAUUCAACUUUUGCUCCUGGGCUGGGCCUCGGCGCUUUUCUCCAAAUGGGUGCCAAAAGUCAACAAAUAAUAUUUUUGCAUAAAAAUCGUCACUGAAAUGAAAAUAUUCGGAUGCAACCAUGCAAAUGGCAUGGAUAGUCGACGUAGGCUUAAAAGCCCGACAAACCAAACAGGCCCUACAUAUAUGUGUGUGUGUCUGUGUGUGUGUAUGUGUGUGUGUGGGAGAGGGAAAUCUCAAUUUGCACAAAAUUUAAUCAAUAUAUGCCUGCUGCACCACUAUGGCUAUGCUCUAUGCGAGCUGCAACCUCUGCGCCGAGUUCAUUGUGGGCUGCUUAUAAAUUUAUGCACAUAUGCAAAUAGAAUUUUCAAAAUUGUCAUUUAAUUGCACUUUAGACAGCACCAAGGCCCAAAAAUGAUAUGCAAAAUGCGAACGGCGCUUCACUCUGUUCAAUAUUAAUGCGUUUCAUUCAAGGACCUGCAGCCAUUGUGCAAUGCUCUUUAAAGGCUUUAACUAGCGCCAGUCCGAGUUUCACAUUACGAUUACGAAAGCAACUGAGACAAUGUGAAACAAAGCAAAAAGCAAAAUGAGAGCCGAAAAGAGAAAUGAGAGAACAGAAAUUUAAUGGGACGCAGCGAAUUCUAGAUAAAGCUUGGCACACAUACAAAGCACACACACGCAAAGGGUGUGGGAGCGAGGAGAGCGGGAGGGGAGCGGGAGAGGAGCUUGCAUGUGAAAGAGUCAACAAAAGGCGGUAUUCAACAAAAACACAAAUACACGCACGCGUAAGCAAACUGCCCAACAGCCAGAAAGUAUGGUUUACAACUGUAUAGCACACACAUGCAUACAUAACAAUACACACACACACACACACACACACACACACACACACACACACACACACACGCACACGCACAGUGGAGUGUAUGUUGUUCUGUUUCUCAUCUUGCGUGUUACUUUUACUCACAUUUCCAGCAGCUUUUUGUGAAUUCCAUCAAAGCCAAUUGUCCUGCAUAUCUCUCUCUCUACCUCUCUCUCUCUCUCUCUCUCUCUAUCUAUCUCUAUCUCCCUGUCUCUCUUUCGCUCUCUAGCUAUCACUGUGUGCGCUUAUCACAAUUUAUUAUCACAUAUUUUGGAAAACGUUUAACCAUUAUCAAAACCCUUGCCUAAGCGACAACAGUUAAAUGCAGCGCAGUUUAAGCCAUUUUAUCUCCCGCCCCAGCCUCAGCUUUGAAUUUCGCCCUUCAAGCGGCAUGUGUGUGAGUGUGUGUGUGUGUACAUAAAUGUGCGC